UACGAAUUUUGCAUUUCAAUCAUGAUAAUCAUUUACAGUGGAAUAUAGGGUUUUUGUAAGGCUUGUGAUUUGUGAUAUACUUAGUUAGUAAUAUCUAUUUUUUUUUUUUGUGAUUGGAAUCAAGUAGAGUUAGUGACCAGGUUGAUUCUGAUUUCUGUGUGUUUCAAUUUUAUGAAUUUUGUGAUCUUAAGUUGAAAUUUCAGAUGGAAAAACAUUUAAUUUUUCUGUGUGUUUGCGCGCGAGUUGCGAGAAGCUCCGCCUAACACCCUCGCAUCACCCUUCUCCGUUAUGGCCAUGGCCAGCCACCACCUCGUCGUCACGCUCUCACUCAAUGGUCAAAAGAGCAUGGCAAUGGACGGUGAAUAAGGUGAGCCAUUAUCUCUCCCUUCUCUAUUUGUAGCAUGCUCUUUUAUUGAGGUUCUUAAAUGACAUCUGAUUUCAUUUUGUAUUUGGUUUGUGAGUUUCUAUUCUACACCUAUUAUGCGUGCAAGUGUAAGAAUAGAAAGCACAGGUCCAUGGACGCUUUGAGAAAAUAAGCAACAAAAAGUUUAACUUCUUCUACUUCGUUUGAGCGAGCAUCGCUGUAUGGUUCUAGGAAUAUUCUUGACCAUCACAGAGACAUGAGGAUGGGCGUAGAUAACAUGAGCUAUGAGGAACUUCUUGCACUUGGUGAGAGGAUUGGCCAUGUUAACACAGGGUUGUCUGAAGACUCGCUCACCAAGAAACAAUGUAAUCUUUCUGAAGCUGAUUUCAUCCAAGGUUACUGAAUCACCCUUAUAAGGCAAGUCUUCAUGAGAUCAACGAGGAACCCAGUUGCCCAUCUCCUUUAAUUUUUGAUUUCGAGCAGGCAACUCUUGACGAAGAAGAUAUAAAGGAGCUCAUAUGGAAGGAGUCUCUGAACUUCUGCUAGGAUCAGAUGCAAUGGACACAACUGCAACCACUAUUUAGAAGCAUGCAUUGGUAAAGGAAGCCAGUGAAGGAAGCACAGAGCUUGGUUUCUCAUUAAAGCAUGAUAUUAACAUAAACCUAUCUAUCUAGCUUGGGUGUUCAUGGUUUUCAUAUAUGGAUGGUGACUUCAGGUAGAGGCACAUGAUCUUAAAAACAAAGUGAUUCAAACAAAAAGAAGUUGCAGAGAUUGGGGGAUGAUUAUUUUGAAGGACUUCUAGGGCCUAUUUAUUGGUGAUCAUCAGAUAUUGAGAAGAAUCAAUGUGGUUUCAUACUUUUUUUGAGUUUUCCUUCCUCUUUGAUUAAUCAAGCAUGGCAACUCUCCUUUUGGGUCUUUGAUCAGCUAUGUAAGCUUAUGUUUGCUUUUUCUGUUCAUAGAAAGGUAGCAAAGUCUUCGAAUGAUAUGUAAAUAGACGUAAUUAGUGAAGUAGAGGACAUUUUUUCUAUUCAAUUUUUUUACUAGUAUAUUAUUUUUCAUUUCCUUUA